AACGAACGCUGGCGGCGCGCCUAAUACAUGCAAGUCGAGCGAGAAGACGUAGCAAUACGUUUGUAAAGCGGCGAACGGGUGAGGAAUACAUGGGUAACCUACCCUCGAGUGGGGAAUAACUAGCCGAAAGGUUAGCUAAUACCGCAUACGACUCCUGGUCUGCGGAUCGGGAGGGAAAGCGAUACCGUGGGUAUCGCGCUCUUGGAUGGGCUCAUGUCCUAUCAGCUUGUUGGUGAGGUAAUGACUCACCAAGGCUUCGACGGGUAGCUGGUCUGAGAGGACGAUCAGCCACACUGGCACUGCGACACGGGCCAGACUCCUACGGGAGGCAGCAGUAAGGAAUAUUGCGCAAUGGGCGACAGCCUGACGCAGCGACGCCGCGUGGGGGAUGAAGGUCUUCGGAUUGUAAACCCCUUUCGGCAGGGAAGAUGGAACGGGUAACGUUCGGACGGUACCUGCAGAAGCAGCCACGGCUAACUUCGUGCCAGCAGCCGACGG
rnacentral:rRNA from 1 species